AUUUAUAUAGUUUAAAUAAAACAUUACAUUUUCACUGUAAAAAUAAAAAAUUUUUUUUUAUAAAUA
rnacentral:tRNA from 1 species